AAGAAGCAUCCCCGCCGACCCCUGGGGAAGGCCGCCGCGGCUCCCCCAGCGCAACCAAUCAGAAGGCUCCUUCGCGCAGCGGCGCGCCAACCGCAGGCGCCCUUUCUGCCGACCUCACGGGCUAUUUAAAGUCCCCUCCAGGGCAGGUGACUGAGGCCGUGAAGGUGGCCAUUGACGUCGGGUACCGCCACAUCGACUGUGCCCAUGUGUACCAGAAUGAGAAUGAGGUGGGGGUGGCCAUUCAGGAGAAGCUCAGGGAGCAGGUGGUGAAGCGUGAGGAGCUCUUCAUCGUCAGCAAGCUGUGGUGCACGUACCAUGAGAAGGGCCUGGUGAAAGGAGCCUGCCAGAAGACACUCAGCGACCUGAAGCUGGACUACCUGGACCUCUACCUUAUUCACUGGCCGACUGGCUUUAAGCCUGGGAAGGAAUUUUUCCCGUUGGAUGAGUCGGGCAAUGUGGUUCCCAGUGACACCAACAUUCUGGACACGUGGGUGACACUUUUCUCUGUAGGCCAUGGAAGAGCUGGUGGAUGAA
rnacentral:sRNA from 1 species